GGAAGUAAAAGUCCGUAACAAGGUUUCCGUAGGUGAACCUGCGGGAGGAUCAUUAAUGAGUUGUCAUGGGGUUCGAUGCUGGCAGCCAAUUUUUGGAUGCAUGUGCUUGCCCUAACAAUCAUCUUCCAAACACCUGUGCACAUUUUUGAGGGAGUCUUGAGUUGGUUGCCGCUCUUGGGUGAUUUUCUCACAUUCCCUUAAAUCAUUAUACGCUAUUAACAAUGUUGAACGUGCUCUGUGCCGCAAGGCUAUUAAUAUAAUACAACUUUUAACAACGGAUCUCUUGGCUCUC
rnacentral:misc_RNA from 1 species